AUGAACCCGAUGCUCCAGCUCGGCCGCCGCCUCGCGUACCACGGCCUGCCCCCCACGCUCGCCGGCACGCGCUACGUGCUCUCCACGGGCCCACCCCCCGGCGACCCAUUCUGCGUCGCCGCCUUCUCUGACGGCUUCGACGCCGGCGGCAUGGCCUCCUGCCCGGACCCCGUCGAGUACUGCCGCAGGGCCGAGGCCGUGGGGUCCCAGACGCUGGCGCAGGUCAUUGCCGCCGAGGCGCGCGCCGGGAGGACGCCGUCAGUCAUGGUCUACGACCCGCACAUGUCCUGGGCGCCCCGGGUGGCCAAGGCCGCGUUCAUGUCGCAGUCGUGCGCCGUGGACCUCAUCUACGGCGAGGCCUGGGCGGGGCGCGCGCCGCUGCCCAUGGCCGACGGGAGUGCGCUGCGCCGCAGUGGUGCCGUGAGCGUGGACCUCGGACCGGAGGACCUGUCGCCGUUCGUGGUGUCGCCGGAGCUGUACCCGAAGUACCUGGACGUGUCGAUUCGGCAGUUCGAGGGCCUGGAAGACGCCGGCGACGUGCUCGUCAACUCCUUCCGUGACCUCGAGCCGCAGGAGGCCGAGUGCAUGGAGUCCAGGUGGCGCGCCAAGACUGUCGGCCCGACGCUGCCGUCCUUCUUCCUCGACGACGGCCGCCUACCGGCGAACAAGGCCUACGGCGUCAACUUCUUCAGCAGUGACACGCCGUGCAUGGCAUGGCUGGAUAGGCAGCCCCCUUGCUCGGUAGUCGUCGCGUCCUAUGGGACGGUCUACAGCCUCGACGCCGGCGAGCUUAACGAGCUUGGAAAUGGGCUCUGCGGUUCCGGCAAGCCUUUUCUCUGGGUCGUGAGGUCCAACGAGGCACAGAAGAUAUCUCAAGAGCUGCAUGGCAGGUGCAAGGAUAAUCGAUUGAUUGUGCCUUGGUGUCCCCAGCUUCAGGUUCUCGCGCAUAAGGCCAUACGUUGCUUUUUGACUCAUUGUGGAUGGAACUCAACGACAGAAGCACUUGUUACCGGUGUGCCGAUGGUGGUGAUGCCGAGGUCGGCUGACCAACCAACCACGGCAAAGUACAUGAAGAGCGCAUGGCGCAUCGGCGUGCGGAUCCGGACAGAUGAGAAAGGCUUGGUGAGGAGGGAGGAGGUGGAGAGGUGCAUCAGGAAGGUGAUGGAUGGGGAGGGAAAGGUUGAGUACCGCAAAAAUGCGACAAAAUGA
rnacentral:rRNA from 1 species